GAGCCGUUCUCACGGUUCAGGGAGCCAACACUGACUGACUCUAAGCCAGCGACCCAGUAUAAUAAUAGCAGUCUAGUAUAUGAGUCUUCCUAGCGUCUAACUAUAUUAGCUGGACUCUAAUAACCUGUGUAGCGUCUCAGGCAUUGCUUUUCUGAAAAUAUUUGCUGGAUUGUAGCGUUUAUCUGACUCAGAACUGGGGUUGGCUUGUACCUGCCAAUUGUAAAAGACGUGACCACUUAUAUUGUUGUAACACUUCAACAAGUUUCUUUUUGCAUGUGUUACCAGUGGUGCAUCGUAAAAAUAUUUCAUAAAACUAAGCAAAGCAUAUAGUGUGGACAAAAAGUUGAAUCUUUUUCCUCAAAUAUUGAUAAUGCUCUCGCAAUUUUGGCUCAGUUCAAAUUUAUGACUACAUGUCGAGUAGCUCAUAUGCAAUCACAUUUUUGGAAGAAAGAAAAGAUAUGGAAGAUGAUUCUCAAGAAAGUUGGCCUUCCGCAUCGUAUAGAGACCAAGACAUUCGUGAUCUCGUUCCACUAAUAGACUGUACUGUCUAAUAAAACUGGUCGAAUGAUUGCUGAAUAGAUAAAUAUGAAUAAAAGGACUUUACAAGACUAUUUGAGCAUCCUGGAUGAGGUCACAAUUAUAGAAAAGAGGUGAAACAUGUUAUGCGAGAAGAAACAUUCAAGAUAUAUAGAAGCAAUAAAACGAGAAACAACAAGGAUAUUGAAAAAUACCGAAGUAUACUGAAUGGAAACAACUCGGGAUUAAGCAUAUAAAUGCAUAAAGGAGAUUAUUUAAAAAAUUAUAACAAUAAUACGAACAAAAAUUGAAAUAAGUUUUACAAAUUUUGCUACGAACUUUUUGUCCACAAUACAUAUAACUUGGUUAUGGCCACUCAUCACUGACACGCUUUUUAAGGCACAAAAACUUCGGGGAAACGUUAUGAA